rnacentral:rRNA from 1 species
UACGGAGGGGGCUAGCGUUAUUCGGAAUUAUUGGGCGUAAAGGGCGCGUAGGCGGCCCGGUAAGUCAAAGGUGAAAUCCCUCGGCUCAACUGAGGAACUGCCUUUGAAACUGUCGGGCUUGAGGCCGGGAGGGGGUAGCGGAAUUCCCAGUGUAGCGGUGAAAUGCGUAGAUAUUGGGAGGAACACCGGUGGCGAAGGCGGCUACCUGGACCGACAUUGACGCUGAGGCGCGAAAGCCAGGGGAGCAAACGGG